rnacentral:rRNA from 1 species
UGGGGAAUGUUAGACAAUGGGGGAAACCCUGAUCCAGCCAUCCCGCUUGUGCGAUGAAGGCCUUCGGGUUGUAAAGCACUUUUGGCAGGAAAGAAACGUCAUGGGUUAAUACCCCGUGAAACUGACGGUACCUGCAGAAUAAGCACCGGCUAACUACGUGCCAGCAGCCGCGGUAAUACGUAGGGUGCAAGCGUUAAUCGGAAUUACUGGGCGUAAAGCGUGCGCAGGCGGUUCGGAAAGAAAGAUGUGAAAUCCCGGAGCUCAACAUUGGAACUUGAUUUUUAACUAACGGGCUAGAGUGUGUCAGAGGGAGGUGGAAUUCCGCGUGUAGCAGUGAAAUGCGUAGAUAUGCGGAGGAAAACCGAUGGCGAAGGCAGCCUCCUGGGAUAACACUGACGCUGAUGAACGAAAGCGUGGGGAGCAAACAGG